rnacentral:rRNA from 1 species
UACGUAGGGCGCGAGCGUUGUCCGGAAUUAUUGGGCGUAAAGAGCUCGUAGGCGGCCUGUCGCGUCCGCUGUGAAAACCCGGGGCUCAACCCCGGGCUUGCAGUGGAUACGGGCAGGCUAGAGGCAGGCAGGGGAGAACGGAAUUCCCGGUGUAGCGGUGAAAUGCGCAGAUAUCAGGAGGAACACCGAUGGCGAAGGCAGGUCUCUGGGCCACUACUGACGCUGAGAAGCGAAAGCAUGGGGAGCGAACAGG